ensembl:misc_RNA Gm27446 predicted gene, 27446
UGUCCACAUCCGUGUAUGGUAAAACUCCACCCAUGGUACAUUUGCAUAGCAGUGAAAAAACUGGUAUUUCCUAUCUGUGAGUGAGUCAC